CCUACGGGGGGCUGCAGUGGGGAAUAUUGGACAAUGGGCGAAAGCCUGAUCCAGCCAUGCCGCGUGUGUGAAGAAGGCCUUCGGGUUGUAAAGCACUUUCAGUGGGGAAGAAAGCCUUGGGGCUAAUACCCUCGAGGAAGGACAUCACCCACAGAAGAAGCACCGGCUAACUCCGUGCCAGCAGCCGCGGUAAUACGGAGGGUGCGAGCGUUAAUCGGAAUUACUGGGCGUAAAGCGCGCGUAGGCGGUCUGAUAAGCCGGUUGUGAAAGCCCCGGGCUCAACCUGGGAACGGCAUCCGGAACUGUCAGGCUAGAGUGCAGGAGAGGAAGGUAGAAUUCCCGGUGUAGCGGUGAAAUGCGUAGAGAUCGGGAGGAAUACCAGUGGCGAAGGCGGCCUUCUGGACUGACACUGACGCUGAGGUGCGAAAGCGUGGGUAGCAAACAGGGUUAGAUACCCGAGUAUC
rnacentral:rRNA from 1 species